CCCUAGAGGAGCCUGUUCCAUAAUCGAUAAACCCCGAUCCACCCCACCCUCUCUUGCUUAGCCUAUAUACCGCCAUCUUCAGCAAACCCUGAUGAAGGUCACAAAGUGAGCGCAAACGCCACCACCGCGAAGACGUUAGGUCAAGGUGUAGCCUAUGAGACGGAUAAAAAAUGGGCUACAUUUUCUAUCUCAGAAAACUCUACGAAAACCCCUAUGAAACCUGGGGGUCCAAGGAGGAUUUAGUAGUAAAUUAAGAAUAGAGUGCUUAAUUGAACCAGGCCAUAAAGCGCGCACACACCGCCCGUCACUCCUCUCAAAUAUAUUUAAGGAACAUCUUAACUAAACGCCCUAAUAUUUAUAUAGAGAGGAUAAGUCGUAACAUGGUAAGCGUACUGGAAGGUGCGCUUGGAU
rnacentral:rRNA from 1 species